UAUACAGGCAAAACCGUUGAAAAACGGUGACGCAAAGCCAAGGGUCUAAGGUCUUUCCAGACUAUGACAGCCGGUUGCCGC
rnacentral:ncRNA from 1 species